rnacentral:lncRNA from 1 species
GCAAAAAUAUACCGGAGAGGAGUCCCGAGGCAGUCUGUGAUGCCCUCGAUCUAAUCGUAUGCUAAACAUACACGCAAAUGUGUACGAUCAAAUUCAAGGACUCACGGGAAGAUAUCACGACACAACUCUAGACACAAAUAAAACAUACAAGCUUCAUAUUACAAGCCAGGGGCCACGAGGGAUAGAAUACGGAAGCUCUAUAAGCAGACGAGUCAGCGGAAGCAACAAUAUCUGAGUACAAACAUUAAACAUGGGGUUCCUUAGAGAAGGCUAGCACAAAAGAUACACG